GCGAAAUACGCUACAGUCGGAAAGCGCACGUUAAAUCUCCUAUAUCAGUCAGUCAGUUGGCUAUACAAGACGAUCAGCUGAAAGCUUCAGAGAUUCCCAAUCAACAAGAACGAUGAAGUUUACCUUGGCUGCCAUUCUUAUUAUCGCGCUCUGUGCUGUCAGUCCCUUGGCAGCAACAGCAAAUUCGACGGUGGCUACUGACUCAACGACUGUCACAAUGUCUACGACCACCGGGAGUGGUGCCAGCAACGUCGUCUUCUUCAUAACGUGCGUCGUGGGGGUCUACGGUGGCUGGGUGGCGCUGGAACUAGCCCUGUAGCAGAACACAACGAGCGGCAUCCCUGUGGUGAAGUGGAUACAGAUAUGAACUUCAAGUACAAGACUUGUUUUUGCUUCAACUGACACGCGCAUCACCAUUUGUCACCUCUCGCAUCUUUCCGUAAUCAUCGCAUCAUGUCCCGGAAUGACCCGAGUGGUCACGAAUGGUCCCCAUAUCACGUCUUUGAGGGGAAAUCAAUUCCAGAACUAUUGAAUAUUGACAUUUUGAGAAAUUUGACAAUAAGUAACAUGUUAUUUUGAGAAUGCUCUAAAAAUCCAUUUUAUGUAUCUGUGUAAUUUUUUACGACCAUCAAUCACUGUUUCUAUGUUAAUACCGUUUCAGCAUAGCACCUGGUAAAAAACAUUUUCUUUCUUGUAUUUUACAUCAUAUCUGUGUCCACUGUAUUCCCCGAUUAUUUUGUUAUCUUCUGUCCGUUAUUUCACCGAUCGUAUACACUUUCAUAAGUAAACCAACGACGCCAUUUUUAUCUCGGGACGGUAUUUCCAUCAUGUUCCUGUAGUAGCGGGAUGCCAUUGUGUACUCGUCAAUCUGUUUACGCACUUCAGUCUAUGGCUAUGACUUGGUCUCUUUGAUUGAUCAGCUGACAACAAAUCCACUGUAUGUUUCUUCACAGGAAUCGGUAGUUCUGAUUAUGAUUAAAAUAUAUUUUUACUAUGAAACACCCCACUUUUACACAUAAACAAACGAGUGCCACGAGUGCCACGAGUAGUAGGCGAUUGCACUCCUUGUGUUAAUAUAUAUAGAUAGGGGGAUGCUUGAUUGUGAAAUACCUUUCGACUUUAUUAUCAUAAUCAGAACUUCCUGGGGUUUCCUUUUUAAUAAAGAUAUCGUGUGCAUCUCAA